rnacentral:tRNA from 1 species
UUCCUUGUGGCUCAGCUGGUAGAGAAUCUGCCUGCAAUGCAGGAGACCUGGGUUCGAUCCCUGGGUUGGGAA